rnacentral:rRNA from 1 species
GACAGAGGGGACUAGCGUUGUUCGGAAUUACUGGGCGUAAAGCGCGUGUAGGCGGUCCGGUAAGUCCGCUGUGAAAGUCGGGGGCUCAACCCUCGGAUGCCGGUGGAUACUGUCGGGCUUGAGUACGGAAGAGGCGAGUGGAAUUCCUGGUGUAGCGGUGAAAUGCGCAGAUAUCAGGAGGAACACCAAUUGCGAAGGCAGCUCGCUGGGACGUUACUGACGCUGAGACGCGAAAGCGUGGGGAGCAAACAGG